rnacentral:rRNA from 1 species
UCUUUCUUGAUUCGGUGGGUGGUGGUGCAUGGCCGUUCUUAGUUGGUGGAGUGAUUUGUCUGGUUAAUUCCGAUAACGAACGAGACUCUGGCCUACUAACUAGUCGUCGGAUCGCUUCAGUCCGACUGACUUCUUAGAGGGACAAGCGGUGCUUAGCCGCAUGAAAAAGAGCAAUAACAGGUCUGUGAUGCCCUUAGAUGUCCGGGGCUGCACGCGCACUACACUGAAGGAAUCAGCGUGUGGGUUUGCCUGGCUCGAAAGAGCUGGGUAAUCCGGUGAAAAUCCUUCGUGAUUGGGAUCGGGACUUGCAAUUAUUUCCCUUGAACGAGGAAUCCCUAGUAAGUACGGGUCAUCAGCUCGUGCUGAUUACGUCCCUGCCCUUUGUACACACCGCCCGUCGCUGCCCGGAACUGAGCCAUUUCGAGAAAAAUGGGGACUGACGGCUUGAGGUCUUCACGGGCUUCUUGCUGACGGGAACCGCUUUAAUCGCAGUGGCUUGAACCGGGCAAAAGUCGUAACAAGGUUUCCGUAGGUGAACCUGCGGAAGGAUCAAGCC